rfam:Salmo salar isolate Sally breed double haploid chromosome ssa02, whole genome shotgun sequence.
UGGCUCAGUUGGUAGAGCAUGGUGUUUGCAACACCAGGGUUGUGGGUUCGAUUCUCAC